rnacentral:rRNA from 1 species
AUUGAACGCUGGCGGCAUGCUUUACACAUGCAAGUCGAACGGCAGCACGGGUGCUUGCACCUGGUGGCGAGUGGCGAACGGGUGAGUAAUGCAUCGGAACGUAUCCAAUAAUGGGGGAUAACGCAUCGAAAGGUGUGCUAAUACCGCAUACGCCCUGAGGGGGAAAGUGGGGGACCGUAAGGCCUCACGUUAAUGGAGCGGCCGAUGGCUGAUUAGCUAGUUGGUGAGGUAAAGGCUCACCAAGGCGACGAUCAGUAGCUGGUCUGAGAGGAUGAUCAGCCACACUGGGACUGAGACACGGCCCAGACUCCUACGGGAGGCAGCAGUGGGGAAUUUUGGACAAUGGGCACAAGCCUGAUCCAGCCAUGCCGCGUGAGUGAAGAAGGCCUUCGGGUUGUAAAGCUCUUUCGCAAGGGAAGAAAACUUAGUUCUUAAUACGAGCUGAGGAUGACGGUACCUUGAUAAGAAGCACCGGCUAACUACGUGCCAGCCGCCGCGGUAAUAC